rnacentral:rRNA from 1 species
CAGCCGCCGCGGUAAUACGUAGGUGGCAAGCGUUGUCCGGAAUUAUUGGGCGUAAAGGGCUCGCAGGCGGUUUCUUAAGUCUGAUGUGAAAGCCCCCGGCUCAACCGGGGAGGGUCAUUGGAAACUGGGAAACUUGAGUGCAGAAGAGGAGAGUGGAAUUCCACGUGUAGCGGUGAAAUGCGUAGAGAUGUGGAGGAACGCCAGUGGCGAAGGCGACUCUCUGGUCUGUAACUGACGCUGAGGAGCGAAAGCGUGGGGAGCGAACAGGAUUAGAUACCCCGGUAGUCCCUGUCUCUUAUAC